rnacentral:misc_RNA from 1 species
GAUGAAGAACGUAGCGAAAUGCGAUAAGUAAUGUGAAUUGCAGAAUUCAGUGAAUCAUCGAAUCUUUGAACGCACAUUGCGCCCGGUAGUAUUCUGCCGGGCAUGCCUGUUCGAGCGUCAUUUCAACCAUCAAGCCCCACCGCUUGUGUUGGGGGCCUGCGGCUGCCGCAGCCCCCUAAAAGCAGUGGCGGGCUCGCUAUCACACCGAGUGCAGUAGUUCAUCUUCUCUCCGGUCUUGUGAGGCGGGUUCCGGCCGUGAAACACCCCACUACAUUCAAGGUUGACCUCGGAUCAGGUAGGAAUACCCGCUGAACUUAAGCAUAUCAAUAAGCGGAGGA